UGUUUCUUACUUGGCCCAAUCGGUCCAAAUGGAUAAAAUUAUUACUGACCAAAAUGUGUGGUUCUGCGUAAUUCGUGUUAAAAAAAUAUAAGUUACAGAAAAGGAAAGAAAAAAACAAAACCUAGACUUUAUCUUUCUCAAAACUCAUCGAUCGAAAUCCAUGGCGAUUCGAAGCUUCUCGAUUGCUUGAGUGACUUUGAUCCAUCGCGAUUCAAAGAAGUCCAUGACUCCUAAGCUUCAAGAUCUUCAUCGAUGAGAACGCCAUGAAUCUGAUUUGGAAAAAAAUCAAAACGAUGGUUGGAAACACGUUAGAUCCACCAGGACUUCUCGAAUCCUAUCUCUUAAGGUAGGAAAAAAAAAAACCUAAAGAGCAAUACAACAGGUAGACAGGAGCCGGCUUACUUAAGGUGCAAGAAAUCAGUCGAUGAUUUGGACAUGGCAACUAUGGAAUCUCCCUCAUAGAUAUAUUCAUAUCAGAACUCCCCUUGAUAAAGGAUGAUCGGUUGCUCGGUACAUGCCAGUUGAAGGACUGAGGGUGAAAUUCUGGAUGUGCCUCCAUGCUCCAACAGGAAGCAGGCGGCCUUUACUCUCCAUCUUCAUCGGAUAGCACUAUCUCGAGGGUGUCCCCGUGCACUGGGUUGUACUGCUUCCAAGAGUGCAGAACCUUCACAUGCACUUUCCAGCCACUCUUGUAGGGUUUCACAUCUUUCAAAGGGGUCACUUUCAUUGCGGUAGACAUUUUUUUUUUUGAUUGUGAAUGUAGUUGUGAGUAAAUGUGAGAAAGCUUAGGCAUGUUGUAGGUGUUUAUAUAGCAGUAGGUUUAUCGAUGGUUCUAAAUGUCUGGUAAAAAAACAUCUCUCGUAUAUUCUUAGUUCUCUAUAGGAAACCGUUAAGAGUAUUGAUCAAGAAAAAAUAUUUAGAGCUCGAUUUUGUUUGUGGUUGUUUACAUAUCUUAACAAUAUUUACAAUUCUGUUAGUUUAGAUAUCUUUUUAACAUAAAGGAAUUAAAUGAAACAAAUAUUUGGGUUAAUCGAUGGUUUUAAAUGUCUGGUAAAAAAAUGUCUGGUAUAUUCUUAGUUCUCUAUAGGAAACCGUUUAGAGUAUUGAUCAAGAAAAAAUAUUUAGAUAUUGAUUUUGUUUGUGGUUGUUUACAUAUCUUAACAAUAUUUACAAUUCUGUUAGUUUAGAUAUCUUUUUAACAUAAAAAAAUUAAAUGAAACAAAUAUUUGUGUAGUUAUUACGUAUGCUUCAUGGGCAAGCUAGUAUAUUCUGAUUCAUUAAAUGAAAAAUCGUUAGAGAAUUUUAUACUGUUAAGAUAUGUUUGAUAGUUACCGAAUUUGAUUUCUACAUGCUUGCCUUGGGCCAUUUAGAAAAAUCGGUUAGGAGUAGUUCGUUUGGGCUAAAAUUCCAUGUUGGGCCAUUUUAAAUUUUUGAAAAAACGUGUUUUUGUAUUGUUCACGUAAAUACCCUUUUUUAAUCUUUGAAAUGUAAGGAAACACUAAAAAUGAAAGGGCAGACUAAGGUAAUUAUGACAAUAGGAUCCUGCUUUAAUAAUAUAGAUGAAGGAUAAAUGAUUCGGACAAUUCUCUCAAAUAGUCAUUUUUAAAGCCUUCAAUAAAAACAAAACAAAAUAGCUUCUUUUUACUUUGAAUUUUUUAAUUUAAUUUUUUAAUUUUUAAAAUUUGAAACUAUAUCCUCAAAACUCCACCCCUUAACUCUAAACUCUCUAUAGAUUAGUUAACCUUAGGAUAUAAAUAUAUUUUUACUUUUUAAAAAAAAUUAUUUUGGUCAUUCUACUCAUUGAAGGCUAUUUUGUGCUAAAAACUUAAAAAUGUCUAUCUUAGAGAAUUUCUCGUGAUCCUAUGUUUUACAGAAUUUGUAAAAUCACUUUUUACAAAGAUUUUUCAAUUAAUUAUAGUUCUAAAAUGGCUUAUCUAUCUAUAUCUUUAUAUAUAAAGAAAUGUUUUUUCUCUCCUGGUGCUGCCACCUAGGAUUCCAGGUUAGAAAGUCAUUUAUUGAGGAACCGACACGUGUCAAUCCGAGUUAAAACACACCGUAUCAUUUAACUUUGUCGUCGUGAGCUUUGCUAACAUUUUGUGGGAUUGGGCUCUAAAACUGGAAGUUUUAUUGGGCCCGCUGAGAUGAAUGUGGCUUCUAACCCUAAGCGAAGAAACGACGUCCGUAUGUGUGACACAAUACAUUGUAAAUCGUGAUACGAUUGCUUCGAAACGCAGCGUUAUGAUUUUUGGUUCCAUCCAUCUCUCAUCUUCGCCGUAUCGAUACUAGGGUUUUGAUCGAUCUAUUCCUCUUCUUCCGGCCGAUCCAAAGAUCAAUCGGUUACAGAUUCAAUCCUCUUAAAUUCCUUCUUCGAUCCAUCGCACACGGUUCUAAGUCAUGGCAGCCACCGUGAAUGUCAACCGUCUCGGCACACUUUUCUACACCUUCUAAAGGCUGGUUCACUGUUCACCUUAAGCGGAUUCGAUGUGACACGGUGCAAUCAGAACUUUGGACUAACCGACACUUCUCUCACAAUUCGGUUCAGUGAUUCAACCACAGUUGUUGAGUUAAACAAACCGGUCUCACCGAUACCUCAAGAGCGGUUAAGGUUCCAUGCUCACGAUUCGAUGUAUGGCCUAGCCUAUAUAAACACACAUCUUCCAGAUAUUCUUCAAGGGCUCACUCCUGUGAAGAGUAUAGUGUGUGACGUUCCACAGGGAAAAGGAACGUGUUAUGAUUAUGCGUUGAUCAUUUUAUUGGAAGGCUUUCAAGGUGAUCCAAGAGUUGUUGUCGCGACUAUCAAUCCUAAAAUUGUCGGAGGAUGUCUGUUUUGAACGCUACGUCAGCAACACAAAAUUUUCGAUAAAGAGACUUAUGCACUGGGGAUUUUGUUUUACUAAGUAUCUAAUGGUGAAACUUCACAAUCAUGUAGACUGGUCUCUAAAGAACUGGGAACACUCCAGUACCUACAUUGCUGAGGAGAUACGCCAAGGUUGAGCCGUUGAGCAUAUAUCUGAGCCGUUGAGCAUAUAUCUGAGCUGAAUGAGUUCAUCAUCACCACCCAACCUCAGGAAAUUGAAUUCGUCUGUACUAGCAAGGUCACUGGAAUCAAGAUGGACAAAGGGUGGUGCUACGUAUCCUGCUCUAGGUGCUCUAGAUGCACAAAGAAACUCCAAUGAAUUGUGUUGUAUUUUACUUGCAUAAGCUGCAAUAACACCAACGAUGUUGGUGUGCUCCAGUAUUAUGAACCACUUGCGUCUUUUAUUCCUUUUAAAUUUAAUCUCAUAAAAACCUAAAACAUCACCACCAACCCACAACCAACAUGGUUUUCACAAAUUGUAUCUACUUUCAUAGGUAUCGUGUGGAGAUGAGCAUUGCUAAUGACACUGAUGAGGGUCUGUUUGUUGGUUUCGAUGGAGAGAUGACUAAACUACAUAGCAAUGCUAUGUUGGCAAUAAGAUUCUUAUGGUACCCACACAUUGCAUCACAUAGCAUUGUGUGACAUAUUCCAUAUAUUGUAUUAUGAACUUGCAACAGAUACGUCGAACACAUAGGCUGGACAGGGAGUUAAUCCAAAUGAGAUGCAGCCAUCGCCUUUUAUUGCAGUGGUAAUACAUACAGCUUCCAGGUCAGGAUAAGCCAAUAUAAUUUUACUGCCAAUCAUCAGUCAUUCACAAUCUCUCGCAUCAUCUGCCACUCCCCGACUUUGUUGCCGACGAGGGUGACGAUGAUAAUGGAGUUCUCUCUAAGUUUAAAUUUGGUGGUACUAAUCGUGAGGAGUCAUCUACUUCGAAAGUGGUCAAGAAGGCAUGGAAGAAAUAAAUGGAGUUGAUAUAGUUUUCUAUUUUGAAUAUUUGAGCCAGUUUUUAAUAUUUGAAUAUUACUUCGGCAUCGUUGCUGGUUUUAUAUUUUGUCAUCUUCUAAAGUUUGCUGUGUUUUAAACCUAUUAUUUAAAUGAAUUUUUGGGAUUUUGCAAUAAUUUCACCUCUCAUUAGAUAACUAAGGUUUUGGAUAACAAGUCGUCACAUAGUUCUACUCGAUAAAGUAGUGCAUAUAAGUAAUAUCUCUUAACUGUACAAUGUAUUUUCUAUGUAAUAAAAUGACCUUAUAGAUUAAAAAUGUGUAUAUAUAUAAAUAUUUUUAAAAUUAAGUUUUAUAACAUUAAAAUCCGUAACUAUUUUAAUUUUAAAAAUUUUAGAAACAAUAUCAUACUUGAAUUGAAAUUUACAAUAAAUAUUUAACCGGUGUAUUUUUCUUUACUUUUUUAUUGUAAUUGUAACAUAGAGAUUUAAAAUAUCUUAUAACCGUUCAGUUCAGUUUAGUUCGAUAACUGUAAAAGUCACCAUAUGAGAUUAAGUAAGAAAGUCUUUACUUAAUCUAUACAAAAAUUUAUAUCAGGAAAUUAACAAGGACUAAAACAUCUGCGCAUAUGGGCAAAUAACAAUUGUGGCAAAUGUAACGAUUUCUAUGCCAUAAUUUUGCUAUGCAUAGGAUGAUAACAUGCAGAAUGCUUGAAAUUUAUGGUUAGCCAUGAACGGCCAACCGACAUGUUUUGAGUUGACAAAUGCUGGAAAUAGAUCAAAGGUCCCUUAUGCGAUGUCUAUAUAUUGAAAAAGAGGUGUUAUGUAAUUAAUAUGAUUUUUAUAUUGCCACCAAAAAAUUACCAUCUCAAUAAUUUGGAAAACAAAUGGAGAAGUUGUUAGAGUUGGUUUUACGGUAACUAACAUGUUCCUACACUCAUCGACCACUACUCAAUUUUUACACUUUUCAGUUUCAAUGUUUUCAUAUUUUGAUUAAUUUUUACUACCUUCUUCACAUUCAAUAUAACAUUCUACAUUUAAUAAGAAAUACAACUUCAAAUAAACACCACUUCCACUCCAAUAGCAUGUCGAAAAUUAUAAUUUCAACAUAAAAAGUAAUUACUCUAAUAACAUACACAAAAAAUUACCCAAAAACCAAUCCUUCCGAACUCAAAUUACUACAAACCACAAAUAAUGCCACAACUCUUUGAUAUACAAACAGCUAUUAUAAACAAGCAAAAUAUAUCUUAUCACAUGUAAUUAUUCCUCACUUAAAACUUUCUAAAAAACAAAAAUCUUUAUUAUACACAUCACCUGGAAAUAGAAACCUAAAACACAAACCACAAAAAUAAUAACCUAGAUCACAAGUAUAUUAUAUUCCCCCCGUAGGGCGGGCCGAUCCUAGUAUCCUAUACAAUAAAAGAGACUUUUCUCUCUUCUCCUUGGACCACAUCAGCAAGAGAGGGUGGCCAAAAUAGGACACGUGGACUCUUCUAAAAAAACCUUUGUUUGUUUUCACUUCGUUUUGUUUAUGGGCUCAUAUUUUGGUUCAUGUUUGUUAUGGCCCACUCCAUACUUUCGCUGUCUUUUCUUUUGUCCAAGCAAACCGUCGCUACUGUCCCGGUUCCGCUUCCCAUUCUCCUUUCGUCGCCGCCGUAACGUUAAGCAAAAAGAUAAGAAUUUUUUCUUUCUUCCACGACGUUCCUCCUGGGUUGGGAAGGGCGAAGAUCAUCUCCAAGCUCAUCCUUUUAUGGGAACCUCUCCGGAUUGAUAUUGAGAUGUUAUUCAUCGAGAAACAAAAGUACUGAAGUCGAACCAACUCCAGAAGAUAUAGAAAUGGACUAAGGAGAGGAAGAAACUGCAGAAAGUAACUUCAGGGAACUGCAUCAGAAAAUCGUUCCAAAUCGAAGCUGAUCUCACAAAAAGAUUCUUCAGGUUGCAGAGUAUUAGGGGCCAUCAACUUUGACAGACACCAUAACAAGCCAGAAAUUGUAUGAUGAGUAAGUAUUUUCUGAAUCGAUUCAGAAUAACUUACACAUAAGACGAAUGCUUAUACGUUCGAAACAUCAACCACUGUAAGCUUAUGUGGCCUUGACGGCAGCGCCCGCCCCCUCAAGUGGUUCUAAGUACGGAGAUGUUCAGACAAUCCAGAUCGUGAUUGUGGCGGAGCUUAGCGCAAUGGUACAACACAUGUUAUUGGUGCAUUAAUAUGUCAAACUCUUUCAAUCUCCACUACUGCACUGUAACAAAAAGAAAAUCCAAGGAAACAAUAAUGGCUCAGAUAUAUUUGUGGUUUAAAGCAACAAAAUAAAAUUGUGGUCUUAGUAUUUUGAAAUUCAA